rnacentral:lncRNA from 1 species
UGCCUACCAACCCCUACUUUUCUUUCCAUAUUUUUAUUUCAUAUUAUUUAAAAAGCCAUAUUUCAAAAUCUUAUGAAAUCCUUAUUAUUUUUUCAUAGUUUUUUAAACAAAAAAGGUGCCAAUGUUAAGUGAAAAAAAAAAAUCUAGAGAGAAAUAUUUCCCGCCAAAUUUUCAACAACUUAUUUCUCAAAAACAAGCACACGGACCCUCCAUUUUUUUCUGCAUUUUUAGUUUCUUUAUUUAUAUACUUUCAAUUUAUAACAGUCUUUUAAAAAGCUUGUUAUUUUUAAACAGAGUAGCGAACAUCCUUAACA